rnacentral:rRNA from 1 species
GAUGAACGCUGGCGGCGUGCUUAACACAUGCAAGUCGAACGAUGAAAGCGGGAGCUUGCUCCUGCUGGAUUAGUGGCGAACGGGUGAGUAACACGUGAGCAAUCUGCCCCGAACUCUGGGAUAAGCGUUGGAAACGACGUCUAAUACCGGAUACGACGCGCGAAGGCAUCUUCUGCGCGUGGAAAGAAUUUCGGUUCGGGAUGAGCUCGCGGCCUAUCAGCUAGUUGGUGAGGUAACGGCUCACCAAGGCGACGACGGGUAGCCGGCCUGAGAGGGUGUCCGGCCACACUGGGACUGAGACACGGCCCAGACUCCUACGGGAGGCAGCAGUGGGGAAUAUUGCACAAUGGGCGAAAGCCUGAUGCAGCAACGCCGCGUGAGGGACGACGGCCUUCGGGUUGUAAACCUCUUUUAGCAGGGAAGAAGCGAAAGUGACGGUACCUGCAGAAAAAGCACCGGCUAACUACGUGCCAGCAGCCGCAGUAACAC